AUUGAACGCUGGCGGCAGGCUUAACACAUGCAAGUCGAGCGGGGACUUCGGUCCUAGCGGCGAACGAGUGAGGAACGCUUGGGAAUCUGCCCAGUAGCGGGGGAUAACGUUUCGAAAGGAACGCUAAUACCGCAUACGCCCUACGGGGGAAAGGGGGGGAUCUUCGGACCUCUCACUAUUGGAUGAGCCCAAGUCGGAUUAGCUAGUUGGUGGGGUAAAGGCCUACCAAGGCGACGAUCCGUAGCUGGUCUGAGAGGAUGAUCAGCCACACUGGAACUGAGACACGGUCCAGACUCCUACGGGAGGCAGCAGUGGGGAAUAUUGGACAAUGGGCGAAAGCCUGAUCCAGCCAUGCCGCGUGUGUGAAGAAGGCCUUCGGGUUGUAAAGCACUUUAAGCGAGGAGGAAUGGCUCUUGGUUAAUAACCUUGAGCAGUGACGUUACUCGCAGAAUAAGCACCGGCUAACUCUGUGCCAGCCGCCGCCGUAAUAC
rnacentral:rRNA from 1 species